rnacentral:rRNA from 1 species
UACGAAGGGGGCUAGCGUUGCUCGGAAUCACUGGGCGUAAAGGGCGCGUAGGCGGAUCUUUAAGUCGGGGGUGAAAGCCUGAGGCUCAACCUCAGAAUUGCCUUCGAUACUGGAGAUCUUGAGACCGGAAGAGGUGAGUGGAACUGCGAGUGUAGAGGUGAAAUUCGUAGAUAUUCGCAAGAACACCAGUGGCGAAGGCGGAGCU